AUUGAACGCUGGCGGCAGGCCUAACACAUGCAAGUCGAACGGUAACAGGAAGAAGCUUGCUUCUUUGCUGACGAGUGGCGGACGGGUGAGUAAUGUCUGGGAAACUGCCUGAUGGAGGGGGAUAACUACUGGAAACGGUAGCUAAUACCGCAUAACGUCGCAAGACCAAAGAGGGGGACCUUCGGGCCUCUUGCCAUCGGAUGUGCCCAGAUGGGAUUAGCUAGUAGGUGGGGUAACGGCUCACCUAGGCGACGAUCCCUAGCUGGUCUGAGAGGAUGACCAGCCACACUGGAACUGAGACACGGUCCAGACUCCUACGGGAGGCAGCAGUGGGGAAUAUUGCACAAUGGGCGCAAGCCUGAUGCAGCCAUGCCGCGUGUAUGAAGAAGGCCUUCGGGUUGUAAAGUACUUUCAGCGGGGAGGAAGGGAGUAAAGUUAAUACCUUUGCUCAUUGACGUUACCCGCAGAAGAAGCACCGGUUAACUCCGUGCCAGCAGCCGUGGUAGUACGGAGGGUGCAAGCGUUAUUCGGAAUUACUGGGCGUAAAGCGCACGCAGGCGGUUUGUUAAGUCAGAUGUGAAAUCCCCGGGCUCAACCUGGGAACUGCAUCUGAUACUGGCAAGCUUGAGUCUCGUAGAGGGGGGUAGAAUUCCAGGUGUAGCGGUGAAAUGCGUAGAGAUCUGGAGGAAUACCGGUGGCGAAGGCGGCCCCCUGGACGAAGACUGACGCUCAGGUGCGAAAGCGUGGGGAGCAAACAGGAUUAGAUACCCUGGUAGUCCACGCCGUAAACGAUGUCGACUUGGAGGUUGUGCCCUUGAGGCGUGGCUUCCGGAGCUAACGCGUUAAGUCGACCGCCUGGGGAGUACGGCCGCAAGGUUAAAACUCAAAUGAAUUGACGGGGGCCCGCACAAGCGGUGGAGCAUGUGGUUUAAUUCGAUGCAACGCGAAGAACCUUACCUGGUCUUGACAUCCACAGAACUUUCCAGAGAUGGAUUGGUGCCUUCGGGAACUGUGAGACAGGUGCUGCAUGGCUGUCGUCAGCUCGUGUUGUGAAAUGUUGGGUUAAGUCCCGCAACGAGCGCGACCCUUAUCUUUUGUUGCCAGCGGUCCGGCCGGGAACUCAAAGGAGACUGCCAGUGAUAAACUGGAGGAAGGUGGGGAUGACGUCAAGUCAUCAUGGCCCUUACGACCAGGGCUACACACGUGCUACAAUGGCCAUACAAAGAGAAGCGACCUCGCGAGAGCAAGCGGACCUCAUAAAGUGCGUCGUAGUCCGGAUUGGAGUCUGCAACUCGACUCCAUGAAGUCGGAAUCGCUAGUAAUCGUGGAUCAGAAUGCCACGGUGAAUACGUUCCCGGGCAU
rnacentral:rRNA from 1 species